rnacentral:rRNA from 1 species
AUUGAACGCUGGCGGCAGGCUUAACACAUGCAAGUCGAGCGGUAACAGGAGAAGCUUGCUUCUCGCUGACGAGCGGCGGACGGGUGAGUAAUACUUAGGAAUCUACCUAGUAGUGGGGGAUAGCUCGGGGAAACUCGAAUUAAUACCGCAUACGACCUACGGGAGAAAGGGGGCAACUUGUUGCUCUCGCUAUUAGAUGAGCCUAAGUCGGAUUAGCUAGGUGGUGGGGUAAAGGCCUACCAUGGCGACGAUCUGUAGCUGGUCUGAGAGGAUGAUCAGCCACACCGGGACUGAGACACGGCCCGGACUCCUACGGGAGGCAGCAGUGGGGAAUAUUGGACAAUGGGGGCAACCCUGAUCCAGCCAUGCCGCGUGUGUGAAGAAGGCCUUUUGGUUGUAAAGCACUUUAAGCAGUGAAGAAGACUCUAGGGUUAAUACCCUUAGACGAUGACAUUAGCUGCAGAAUAAGCACCGGCUAACUCUGUGCCAGCAGCCGCGGUAA